UUUGUAAAGUCUUCUGCUAUUCCAUUACAUUCCGAUUGGAAUUACACGUUGAUUUUACAAAUA
rnacentral:pre_miRNA from 1 species